CCGGACUCCUACGGGAGGCAGCAGUGAGGAAUAUUUGUCAAUGGCCGAGAGGCUGAACCAGCCAAGUCGCGUGAGGGAUGACGGCCCUACGGGUUGUAAACCUCUUUUGUCGGGGAGCAAAGAGAGUCACGUGUGGCUCAUUGAGAGUACCCGAAGAAAAAGCAUCGGCUAACGCCGUGCCAGCAGCCGCGGUAAUACGUAGGUGGCAAGCGUUGUCCGGAAUUACUGGGUGUAAAGGGAGCGCAGGCGGGAAGCCAAGUCAGCUGUGAAAACUACGGGCUUAACUUGUAGACUGCAGUUGAAACUGGUUUUCUUGAGUGAAGGAGAGGUUGGCGGAAUUCCGAGGGUAGCGGUGAAAUGCGUAGAUAUUCGGAGGAACACCGGUGGCGAAGGCGGCCAACUGGGCUUUAACUGACGCUGAGGCUCGAAAGUGUGGGGAGCAAACAGGAUUAGAUACCCGAGUAA
rnacentral:rRNA from 1 species